GACGAACGCUGGCGGCGUGCCUAAUACAUGCAAGUCGAACGCAGUGGGGACGGGUGAGUAACACGUGGGUAACCUCCCAUCAGAGGGGAUAACACUUGGAAACAGCUGCUAAACCGAUACUGAUGGAUGGACCCGCGGGGGAUUAGCUAGUUGGUGAGGUAACGGCUCACCAAGGCCACGAUGCAUAGCCGACCUGAGAGGAGGAUCGGCCACACUGGAACUGAGACACGGCCCAGACUCCUACGGGAGGCAGCAGUAGGGAAUAUUGGGCAAUGGGCGAAAGUCUGACCGAGCAACGCCGCGUGAGUGAAGAAGGUUUUCGGGUCGUAAAGCUCUGUUAUUGGGGAAGCGGUAUCUGAACAGAAAGCAACGGCUAACUACGUGCCAGCAGCCGCGGUAAUAC
rnacentral:rRNA from 1 species